rfam:Stegodyphus mimosarum contig57723, whole genome shotgun sequence.
GCCUUUGUGGUGUAGUGGUCAGCACGCUAGGCGCGUAUUCGAAAAGUCCGUGGUUCGAUUCCCGGCUUGGGCA